GACAGAGGUGCCGAGCGUUAGGCGGAAUCACUGGGCUUAAAGCGUGUGUAGGCGGACUUCUAAGUACCUUGUGAAAUCCCACGGCUCAACCGUGGAACUGCUUGGUAUACUGGUCGUCUUGAGCCACUUAGGGGCAGUCGGAACAGACGGUGGAGCGGUGAAAUGCGUAGAUAUCGUCUGGAACGCCGAAGGUGAAAACAGCUCGCUGGGGCUGCGCUGACGCUGAGACACGAAAGCCAGGGGAGCGAACGGGG
rnacentral:rRNA from 1 species